GGGGGAGGGGGUUAGUGGUUAGCAUGUUUGGCUCGCACCCUCAGGGUUGGAGGUUUGAAUCCUGUCUCCACCC